UUAGUUUAUCACAUCAAGAGGAGGGUGAAUUGGUGAAACACAAAAUCAGAGUCUUUUUAAAAUCCUUUUAGCAAAGUUGAUGCCUUUGAAAAGUUUCUUGAAUUGCAAAGAAAAAAAAUUUGAAGUGCUUUAGAAUAAAAUUAACUAAGCACAUAAUAAAGUCGACUUGAAUGUAAAAGUGUAGGAUAAGAAAAAUCAAACACUAAUUUUUAAUAAUUAAUUAACAUCCUUCACACAUUACCCAUUAACCUUUACUAGGGUUUAAAAUAUAAACAAAGUGAACUUGGCCAAAAACGACACAAAGUAUUACCAUUAAUGAUAACGGUCUAAAAACCAUUAUUUUUACACUUAAAUUUGAUAUCAAAACACAUGCUUUAUGGCUUAGAAUGAGCUUAGAAUCAAGCAAAACAUUUAGUUUAGUCAAAAGAGUGUCAAAAGUUGUUUUUAGAGAUAUUAUGCUUGUUUUUGCAUUGUUUUGUAGGAUUUGAUGAAAUUUGAGGAUGGAAGUGAAGAAGGGAGGACUUAGGCUCAAGAAAAGAGGAGAAAAGGAAGAAAAGAAGAGUCAAGUUCACUGCUCAACGCCAAUUCCAGCGCUGAGCGCCAACUUCGAGGCUGAAGUCACUAUUUCUGGCUUGAGCGGCGACAUUGAGUGUCCUGCGACUUGGAGGUCCACCGCUGAGCGACAGAAUUGAGCGUCGAGUGGUCUAUGAUUAUAAGACCCACCGCUAAGCGGCCAAAUUGUGCACUGAGUGCCUAAAUGAUGGGCUUGGGCUUAAAUUCUAUUACUUUUAUGCAUUAUAAAUAGCCCCAGUGCGACCUUCAGAGUAAUCUUUUGGCAAGCAGAGACCUCCAAAGAACUUCUACACUCCUUGGAGACAGUUUCUUGGAUGCUUAGGCUCCCAUUUAUCAAAUCUAGGGUUUACUCUUUCAUUCUUUCCAUUAAUUCCAUCUAGUUUCACCAUCCUUAUGGUGAACUAAACCCUUUGUUGUUGGGAAACAAUGUAAUGCUUUUGAAACUC
rnacentral:lncRNA from 1 species